rnacentral:rRNA from 1 species
CCUACGGGUGGCAGCAGUGGGGGAUAUUGCACAAUGGGGGGAACCCUGAUGCAGCGACGCCGCGUGAGUGAAGAAGUACCUCGGCAUGUAAAGCCCUAUCAGCAGGGAAGAAAAUGACGGUACCUGACUAAGAAGCCCCGGCUAACUACGUGCCAGCAGCCGCGGUAAUACGUAGGGGGCAAGCGUUAUCCGGAUUUACUGGGUGUAAAGGGGGCGCAGACGGUUAUGCAAGUCUGAAGUGAAAGCCCAGGGCCCAACCCUGGGACUGCUUUUGAAACUGUAUGGCUGGAGUGCAGGAGGGGUAGGCGGAAUUCCUGGUGUAGCGGUGAAAUGCGUAGAUAUUAGGAGGAACACCGGUGGCGAAGGCGGCUUACUGGACUGUAACUGACGUUGAGGCUCGAAAGCGUGGGGAGCAAACAGGAUUAGAUACCCGAGUAGUC